CCUGGUUGAUCCUGCCAGUAGUCAUAUGCUUGUCUCAAAGAUUAAGCCAUGCAUGUGUAAGCACACACUGUUUUAAAAGUGAAGCCGCGAAUGGCUCAUUACAACAGCCACAGUUUAUUAGAACUUACAAUCAUGGAUAACUGUGGUAAUUCUAGAGCUAAUACACGCACAAAAACUUCAACUGAAUUGGUUGAAGUGCUUUUAUUAGAACAAAAACCGAACGGCGUUUGGCGAAUGUUGAACGUCGAAACUGUUUGGUGAAUCUGAAUAACUAUUUCUGAUCGCAUGGUCUAGCACCGGCGACAUCACUUUCAAGUGUCUGCCUUAUCAACCUUCGAUGGUAGUCUAUGCGACUACCAUGGUGAUAACGGGUAACGGAGAAUCAGGGUUCGACUCCGGAGAGGGAGCCUGAGAAACGGCUACCACAUCCAAGGAAGGCAGCAGGCGCGCAAAUUACCCACUCCCAGCUUGGGGAGGUAGUGACGAAAAAUAACGAGACGAUUCUCGUUUGAGAAACGUUAUCGAAAUGAGUACGCUUUACACACGCUAACGAGUAGCAAUUGGAGGGCAAGUCUGGUGCCAGCAGCCGCGGUAAUUCCAGCUCCAAUAGCGUAUAUUAAAGUUGCUGCGGUUAAAACGCUCGUAGUUGAAUUGUGGUCUUAGACAACAGUCCCCCUACAUAGGUGUGGCACGGUUGCUCGAGAUCUUCAUUCGUGGUUGCUGUUGUUGCUCUUCAUUGAGUGUCAAUGGUGCCUCGAGAUUUUACUUUGAAAAAAUUAGAGUGCUCAAAGCAGGUUGUGAUGCCUGAAUAAUGGUGCAUGGAAUAAUAGAAUACGAUCUCGGUUCUAUUUUGUUGGCUUUCGAACCGGAGAUAAUGAUUGAAAGGAACAGACGGGGGCAUUCGUAUUGCUGCGUUAGAGGUGAAAUUCUUGGAUCGCAGCAAGAUGAACAAUUGCGAAAGCAUUUGCCAAGAAUGUUUUCAUUAAUCAAGAACGAAAGUUAGAGGUUCGAAGGCGAUCAGAUACCGCCCUAGUUCUAACGGUAAACUUUGCCAACCAGCGAUUCGCCGAAGUUCAUUUAAGACUCGGCGAGCAGCUUCCGGGAAACCAAAGUGUUUCGGUUCCGGGGGAAGUAUGGUUGCAAAGCUGAAACUUAAAGGAAUUGACGGAAGGGCACCACCAGGAGUGGAGCCUGCGGCUUAAUUUGACUCAACACGGGAAAACUCACCCGGCCCGGACACUGGAAGGAUUGACAGAUUGACAGCUCUUUCUUGAUUCAGUGGGUAGUGGUGCAUGGCCGUUCUUAGUUGGUGGAGCGAUUUGUCUGGUUAAUUCCGAUAACGAACGAGACUCUACCCUAUUAAAUAGUGAUAGUAUUGUAUUUUUUGUGCUGAUCACUUCUUAGAGGGACUGGCAAAUUGAAAGCUGCACGAAAAAGAGCAAUAACAGGUCUGUGAUGCCCUUCGAUGUCCGGGGCUGCACGCGCGCUACAAUGAAAGCGUCAACGUGAGUUACGUCCUUACCUGAAAAGGUUUGGCAAUCGAAUGAAACGUUUUCUUGAAUGGAAUAGGGAAUUGCAAUUGUUUCCCUUGAACGAGGAAUUCCCAGUAAGCGUGAGUCAUUAGCUCGCGUUGAUUACGUCCCUGCCCUUUGUACACACCGCCCGUCGCUACUACCGAUUGGAUGAUUUAGUGAGGUGUUUUGACUGGCGCCAGUAGUCGGAUGUAUUCGGCUUCGCGCCGGGAAAUUUCCCAAACCAAAUCAUCUAGAGGAAGUAAAAGUCGUAACAAGGUUUCCGUAGGUGAACCUGCGGAAG
rnacentral:rRNA from 1 species